AACGCACAUUGCGCCCCUUGGUAUUCCGGGGGGCAUGCCUGUUCGAGCGUCAUUAUAACCCUCAAGCCUAGCUUGGUGUUGGAGCCUGUCCCUGGACAGCUCUUAAAAUCAGUGGCGGUGCCUUCUGGUUCUAAGCGUAGUAACUUUUCUCGCUAUAGAGUCCCGGAGGUGGUCUAGCCAGAACCCCUAAUUUUCUAUGGUUGACCUCGGAUCAGGUAGGGAUACCCGCUGAACUUAA
rnacentral:misc_RNA from 1 species